rnacentral:hammerhead_ribozyme from 1 species
AUCCAACUGACGAGUCCAAAGUAGAAGGAAGCGCGUGUCCUGAAU